rnacentral:rRNA from 1 species
UACGUAGGGGGCAAGCGUUGUCCGGAAUCAUUGGGCGUAAAGCGCGCGUAGGCGGCCCGGUAAGUCCGCUGUGAAAGUCCAGGGCUCAACCCUGGAAAGCCGGUGGAUACUGCCGGGCUAGAGUCCGGAAGAGGCGAGUGGAAUUCCUGGUGUAGCGGUGGAAUGCGCAGAUAUCAGGAGGAACACCAAUAGCGAAGGCAGCUCGCUGGGACGGUACUGACGCUGAGGUGCGAAAGCGUGGGGAGCGAACAGGA